rnacentral:rRNA from 1 species
AAAGGGUGCGUAGGUGGUUGAAUAAGUCUGGUUUGAAAGUCAGUCGCUUAACGAUUGAGGGUGGCUGGAUACUGUUCAACUUGAAUAAUCUGGAGGUAGGCGGAACGGGUUGUGUAGCGGUGAAAUGCAUAGAUAUGACCCAGAACACCGAUUGCGAAGGCAGCCUACUACGGAUUGAUUGACACUGAGGCACGAGAGCAUGGGGAGCAAACAGGAUUAGAUACCCGUGU